CGCGUAGGCGGGAUGGCAAGUCGGUCGUGAAAUCCCUCGGCUCAACUGAGGAUCGUCGAUCGAUACUGCCGUUCUUGAGGAUUGCAGAGGAGACUGGAAUUCCCGGUGUAGCGGUGAAAUGCGUAGAUAUCAGGAGAACACCCGUGGCGAAGGCGAAUCUCUGGACCGGUUCUGACGCUGAGGAGCGAAAGCUAGGGGAGCAAACA
rnacentral:rRNA from 1 species